rnacentral:rRNA from 1 species
UCAUUAGCGAAAUGUGAACCUCGUAAAGGGUUGUUGCUGGCCUCUCUCUAUAGAGAGGUAUGUGCACACCUGGAUCGUUCAUCCUCUCUUUCUUACACCCUGUGCACAACCUGUAGCUUGGGAUGAUCACGGAGCGUGCUGCUUGUGUAGCCACCUCGAAUGCCCUCGCUAUGAAUGCUUUUAUAUACACCCUUAUAAAGUCUUGUAGAAUGUCGAUAAGCGUGUAACAGCGCGAAAGUAAUACAACUUUCAGCAACGGAUCUCUUGGCUCUCGCAUCGAUGAAGAACGCAGCGAAAUGCGAUAAGUAAUGUGAAUUGCAGAAUUCAGUGAAUCAUCGAAUCUUUGAACGCACCUUGCGCUCCUUGGUAUUCCGAGGAGCAUGCCUGUUUGAGUGUCAUGAACUUCUCAACUGCUUUGACUUUGUUGUUGAAGUGAAGUUGGACUUGGAGGAUCUUUGCUGGCGUGAGCUUGUGUGUGGUUUGCUGCAUGCUUGCUUGCUUGUUGGCUCCUCUUAAAAGUAUGAAACCUUUCUGGUAGAUCUUGGCAAAAGAGUAUCUUCGACGUGAUAACUAUCUGUGUCGUUGAGAAAGCUUAAGAGCAGGGCCCUUUGAAGGCUCCUACAGGGAAACGUUCAUGUGUACGUCUCUUAGAUGAGACUACCACCUUGACCAAUUCGACCUC